UACAGAGACCUCAAGCGUUAUCCGGAAUCAUUGGGCGUAAAGCGUACCGAUAGGUGGUUUUACAAGUCAGAAGUGAAAUCUCAAGGCUCAACCUUGAGACUGUCUUUUGAAACUGUAAAACUAGAGGAGCAAAGAGGAAGCUGGAACCAGCGGUGUAGUAGUGAAAUGCGUUGAUAUCGCUGGGAACACCAAUAGCGUAGGCAGGCUUCUGGGUGCUACCUGACACUGCUAGGACGAAAGCGUGGGGAGCGAAUGGG
rnacentral:rRNA from 1 species